AUUUAUGUAGUUUACUUAAAACAUUACACUUUCACUGUAAAGAUGGGCUAAGCCCCUUAAAUG
rnacentral:tRNA from 2 species